rnacentral:rRNA from 1 species
UUUAUCGGUGUACGAUGGGGAUGCGUUCCAUUAGGUAGUAGGCGGGGUAACGGCCCACCUAGCCUACGGAUGGAUAGGGGUUCUGAGAGGAAGGUCCCCCACAUUGGAACUGAGACACGGUCCAAACUCCUACGGGAGGCAGCAGUGAGGAAUAUUGGUCAAUGGACGAGAGUCUGAACCAGCCAAGUAGCGUGAAGGAUGAAGGUCCUACGGAUUGUAAACUUCUUUUAUAAGGGAAUAAAACCUCCCACGUGUGGGAGCUUGUAUGUACCUUAUGAAUAAGCAUCGGCUAACUCCGUG